UUAUGAUUUAGAAUAUUCCUGGCCUUUUUUUUUUCAUCUUCCUCUCGUGAAGUAUUUUGUUACUUGAUUCUGUUGCAAUACAUUUGAUUCAACAGAAAACUUGAUUGGCUUGAAUCACUCCUCAAAGAGUUCUGACCGAACUCUAAUGUUGCAACUAAUACGUAUAGUCUAGCUUUAAGGUCAUAAAUAAAAAGCCUUUUAGGUGUAAUGGUUUUCUUGAAUUUUGACAUGGCUUUUUCUUGUUAAUCUUGAGCAUAAACAUGAUAUAUUCCACUGGUUCUUAUAUUCUUGGCAUAAAUAUGAUUUAUCCUGCUAUAGUAGCCUUUUUUGUGUGUGUGUGUGUAAUUUUUAGCAUAUAUAUGAUUUGACCUGACUAGCAUUUUCUUUUACUUCUUCCUCAACUUCUUAAAUUGUUCAUGCAUAAGAAGCAAUGCAAUUUGCCCUUGAUUGAUAUCAGGUGUGGUGUAAAUGGUACUAAGGAUAUAUUUCAACUUUUUGAUGUAAACUUGGACUGGUUUGUGGUCAAUAUGACCUUUGGUUUUCACUAGAAACAGCGGUUUUCUCUUGACCCAUUUCUCUUUCAAUAUCUGUUGGGAUAUGAACAGAAUGGCAUGCUGUUGCUUCAUGGACAUGGGAUGCCCAAGAUGAAACAUGUGGAAUUUGUAGGAUGGCCUUUGAUGGUUGCUGUUCUGACUGUAAACUCCCUGGUGAUGAUUGCCCAUUGAUUUGGGGUGCAUGUAACCAUGCUUUCCAUCUUCAUUGCAUCUUGAAAUGGGUGAAUUCACAGACUUCUCAAGCACAUUGUCCCAUGUGCCGUAGAGAGUGGCAGUUCAAAGGAUAAUCAUUAAAUCAAAUUUCCAAUAUUUUCAGUAAUCUGCUGUUGGGUUAAAAUACAUCCUUUUCACUAUCCUCUUUUUGAUCCACAUCUGCUCAAGAAGCACCAAAUUUAAAUUUUGCUUGUGCUUUUGCUAUUAUGUGUUAGGUGAAACGGACUGCGGAUUGGGCAUCUGCCAAUAAUUUGUCAUAUACCCUCCUUGGUUGUCACUGAGACCUUUAUUCUCUGGUUUAUUUUACUGCUGUGAUUAAGAAAAAAAAAGGGUUCUAGUCUCAUUGUGGACCUUUAACUAUUAUCUUUCUAUUAUCGGUCUCCUUAAUGAUAUUUGUUUCUUCUGAUUAAGUGUAGA